GCCAGACUCCUACGGGAGGCAGCAGUGGGGGAUAUUGCACAAUGGGGGAAACCCUGAUGCAGCGACGCCGCGUGAGUGAAGAAGUAUUUCGGUAUGUAAAGCUCUAUCAGCAGGGAAGAAAAAAGACGGUACCUGACUAAGAAGCCCCGGCUAACUACGUGCCAGCAGCCGCGGUAAUACGUAGGGGGCAAGCGUUAUCCGGAUUUACUGGGUGUAAAGGGAGCGUAGACGGCAAUACAAGUCGGAAGUGAAAUACCCGGGCUCAACCUGGGAACUGCUUUGGAAACUGUAUGGCUGGAGCGCUGGAGAGGUAAGCGGAAUUCCUAGUGUAGCGGUGAAAUGCGUAGAUAUUAGGAGGAACACCAGUGGCGAAGGCGGCUUGCUGGACGAUGACUGACGUUGAGGCUCGAAAGCGUGGGGAGCAAACAGGAUUAGAUACCCCCGUA
rnacentral:rRNA from 1 species